AGUGAACGCUGGCGGUAGGCCUAACACAUGCAAGUCGAACGGCAGCACAGUAAGAGCUUGCUCUUACGGGUGGCGAGUGGCGGACGGGUGAGGAAUACAUCGGAAUCUACUUUUUCGUGGGGGAUAACGUAGGGAAACUUACGCUAAUACCGCAUACGACCUACGGGUGAAAGCAGGGGAUCUUCGGACCUUGCGCGAUUGAAUGAGCCGAUGUCGGAUUAGCUAGUUGGCGGGGUAAAGGCCCACCAAGGCGACGAUCCGUAGCUGGUCUGAGAGGAUGAUCAGCCACACUGGAACUGAGACACGGUCCGGACUCCUACGGGAGGCAGCAGUGGGGAAUAUUGGACAAUGGGCGCAAGCCUGAUCCGGCCAUACCGCGUGGGUGAAGAAGGCCUUCGGGUUGUAAAGCCCUUUUGUUGGGAAAGAAAAGCAGCAGGUUAAUACCCCGCUGUUCUGACGGUACCCAAGGAAUAAGCACCGGCUAACUUCGUG
rnacentral:rRNA from 1 species